AUGCUCCUGCGCCGCGCCGCUCCGGCACCCGCAGCCACCGUCUCCGCCGCCGCGGCGCCACUCCUUCACCAGCCGCACCUCUCCCCUGCAACGCCGCGGUUUCCUCCCGGGUUCCCCACGCCAAGGUUUGCUCGGGACGGCCUCGUGCUCUCUCUGUUCCCACAGCUCGCGGGAUCCACGCCAGAUCCAGCCUCGCCGCCAAGGCACCCUCCCUCUUCAGGCUCUUCUUUCGGCCGGGAUUCUAUCCCCGAAGAUCCACCUGCAGUUGCUGCUCUCGUUGCUUCAGAUCCAACCCGGAAGGUCUGCUUUGCUGCCGCUGAAGUUCUGCUGCAUCCAGCUCCUCUUGGGCUCGUCCGUGGCGCUCCCCGGUCAUGCCUCAAGGCAUCGUCAUCUGCGCGGUUCAGUGCCGGCCGGCGUGCGGCGUGGACGCCCGUUCCUUCCAGACCUGCAUCGCCGCGUGCUUCUUCGAUCGAGCCGUCCAGUGGGGAAGCCAGCUCAGAGGAGGGUUGGAAGCUUGUUCGAGCUCCGUACUGGUGGAGAGCUCUGUCUCCCGACCACCGUCGUUCACCCCGACGAUCCUUGCCUUCGUAUUCCCCUCCAACCAGCAGAAGAUUCGUCAAGCUCCAUCGUACGACCUGUCAUCGCUGCCUGGAGCGGGGACACUGCAAAGUUGACUGCCGUGAUCCCUACAAAUGCCUGAUCUGUCGACAGAGCGGGCACCAUGCUCGUCAGUGCACUAGCAAGACGCCGCCUCCACAACAAGACCGUCUCCUGCCACCAGCACCGCAGGGCCAUCCCUCGCCUCUGCUGCCGUCCUCCCCGGACGAUGUUGCCGAAAGGACUCCCCUCCGCCCGCGCUCGCACUCGUUGCUUCGCGUCCGCCAACGCUCAAGAGCUCACCCUGGACGUGCUAAGCAAGGCCAAGACUCGUGCGACGAGUGGAUCCAAAAAGACAGCGACAUCUGUGGCCGUCAAGAAGAUGACAGGCUCUGUGGUCUGGAGCUCCCAAUCCUCGACGCCCGAAGAAUCAACAAUGGAUGUGUGCAACACCUUCGUGAUGGCACUGUCAUCCCGGCUUCAGGCAGGAGGCCCCGAGACCGCCCAUCUGACAUGACGCUGAGGCGUGCACGCUCAAGAGCUAGGUCUAUCAUCCCGCGCAACGAAGAGAACCGCGGAAGAUCUCCGCCUCCUUCGCCUCGCACUACACAACAUGACAUCAUUGUGCUGCGGCCGUCCCCAAAGGCCCCUGUGAACUGCGGAAGAUCGUCGCCAUCUUCCCCCCGCACCGCUCACAGAGACAUCAUUGAGCUGCGUCCUUCACCGACUGCUCCUGCUUGGCUGCGUCGCGCGGCACCGUGUCCGGGCUUGCAAGUGUCGCCGGAGGACCCGCCACCGGGCUGUCCCGCGCCUCGUCUGCUACGGCGUGCAACCACCCCGACUCCAAGCCCCCUCACGCCACUCCACCAGUCGGCUCCUGGCUCUGUCACACUGCUGCACCAACAUGCCGAUUCGACUGGCUCUACUGACGAGCUCAUGGCGAUUUCCACUCCAGAAGAGACUCCUUCCCCUCCGGUCACCCCUAUCCACAUCCCUAUGUCCACGCGCCUAGAAGUCCAGCAGGGUCGCCGCCACGCUCUCCGUUAUUCGUCGCCCGUCAGCCGCCACUCCUAG
rnacentral:rRNA from 1 species